ACCACACACACAUAAAUAAGAUAUUUUAAAUGCAUCGAUCCUAAUUUGUGCAUAUGAAAAGCAAUAUUUUUUCAGCAUUUUUAGAUAAAAUACCAGGAGGCUCAAUAGAAUUUAUAAUGAUCAAAUUGAAGGUAGGAGAGGUCAAUUUUUAUGAUAGAUACAAGAUAAAAGAGGCCAAGAAUUAUGUACAAAAGAAUCACACAAAUUAU